GAGAUCUCCUGGUCGGUCCAUCGGCGAUAUUCUAUAACGGUCAUCUUGCCGAUGGGCGGAUAGAGGGGAAGUAAUCGUUUUUGCGAAUAUCCUGGUCAGAGCAUCGGCAGAUCUUUGUAACGGUAUUGUUGCCGAUGUACGACUGAGAAAGAUGCCCGUUUAGGAAGUUGGGGAUUUCGAGGAAUCUGCGGAGGAUCAGGAUCAGAGUUGUCCAGAUUGAGGUUGUCAGUUACCAGAUUAGGAGCAUUAAUUGUGGGAGAAGGCAUCAUUACUGCAGAGAAUUUCGGAGCAUUAAUAGUUUUAUACUCCGAAACUGGGGGGCAUGUGUUGACACCGUUUUUGGGCACGUGUCUAGGAUGGCAGGAUAAGGUGGCAGUACGAUGUUUACAAAGCAGGUUGCCGAUGAGGAUGGUUGCCGAUGAGGGAGAAGUUGAAUGUGACAGGCAGUAAUAUGGUGCCGAUGGCUAGAUAAGAAAGUCUGCCGAUGACUAUGGCAAAGGAUCUGCCGAUGAUGCAAAGGAGGAGUCUGGAAGCUGCCGGUCGUUAUGUGGAGGAGUUUCGGUUUGUUACGAGGGAUAGUUUUGUUAUUUCCUUAAUUAUUUGCAUCGUUUUGUAUACGGAUUCCGUGUAAUUUGGAAUUCGAAUUCUAAUCGUGUCUGGUUGUAGCUCUUUGAGCAGGGUAUAAAUAUAGACCCUAGGGCCUUGUAGAAUAAUCAAGAAAUCAAUCAAAUACACGUUUUUACUCAUAUUCCAGCAUCUACUUUUCGACGACUUCGUCAUACUUUUUUUUUCUUUUUAUUACGAGUUCUUAGGAAUUCGUCGACUUAAGCUCGGCGUGUUCUCAAGUUCCGCGUGAGUACCUCUUAGCCGUGACAUCCGGGCGCAUCGCUGUUGUCAGGACUAAAGUAUUCGAGUUAUCACCUUUGCGAUAGUAAGGUCAAAUCGGCUGGCACGCCUUAACGUUUGAAUCGGGUAUUAGCCCUUUGUGUUUGCAGAUCAGUUUUGCAUCAACAGCGUGCGACCUCAGAACCAGCGCGAGGCGGCGUGCAGGGCAGAACGCAGGAGCACGCGUAAUCAUCACCAGGCUAUCAAGAUGGGACGGCUCGAGGCCAUGCCGUACGGAAGCCUCGAGUAGGUCAGCGCUCCAUGCUGCUAUCGACCCCUACUCUAACAUCUACGCAUGUACCCUAAGUCUCUCCUUGGAGCUAUAAAAGGAGGGAUUCAGGAAUAGAACGGACAGGAACACUACGCCCAUACGCAGUAGAACUCCCAUACUUCAUACCACGCUUGUAUUCACCCCUGUACAAGCACUUAGGUGCGAGAUAAUACAAACUCUCCUCCCCCGAUGGACGUAGGGCCUUCUCUUGCCCGAACCAGGAUAAACCUCCGUGUCAUCUUGCAUCACCAUCUGGGAAAGGGAGCACGCAUACAAAUUUACUCGUUGGUGUGACCCCCCAUGGGGAAAACACCGACAGUACCUUUUCUGAAGGGAAUUUGAAAUGGAUCUCUCCUGUUCCAAUGUAAAUGAUGGCCUUAAUAGUGUUGAGAAACAGUCUUCCUAAAAUGAUGGGUGGAUCACACUCAUCUUUACCCAUGUCGAUGACUAGAAAGUCAGUAGGGACAUAGUGGUCAUCGAUCUGGAUAGAGACAUCUUUGACUUUCCUUUCCACAAAGAGAAAGGACUGGUCCGCCAUCUGCAGCUACGCAUAGCUAGGGUCCAUAGGCAUAGUACCAAAUAGAAAUUCAUAGGUUACCUUAGCCAUUGUGUUGAUGCCCGAUCCAGUGCAUAGACAGUGUUGUAGCAGUAACAUCUAUUGAUAGAGCAUAGGAUAGUCAAGACACCUAGGUCGUCCUUCUUGAUUAGCUGCAAAGACUUGAGCAGAUGGUCAUACUCCCUAUGGACUACGGUGACCAUCCU
rnacentral:lncRNA from 1 species